AUUGAACGCUGGCGGCAUGCCUUACACAUGCAAGUCGAACGGCAGCACGGGAGCAAUCCUGGUGGCGAGUGGCGAACGGGUGAGUAAUACAUCGGAACGUGCCCAGUAGUGGGGGAUAACCCGGCGAAAGCCGGAUUAAUACCGCAUACGACCUGAGGGUGAAAGCGGGGGAUCGCAAGACCUCGCGCUAUUGGAGCGGCCGAUGUCAGAUUAGCUAGUUGGUGGGGAAAGGCCUACCAAGGCUACGAUCUGUAGUUGGUCUGAGAGGACGACCAGCCACACUGGGACUGAGACACGGCCCAGGCUCCUACGGGAGGCAGCAGUGGGGAAUUUUGGACAAUGGGGGCAACCCUGAUCCAGCAAUGCCGCGUGC
rnacentral:rRNA from 1 species